CAAAAAGGUUUUGCUCAUUCCGGAUAAAGAACGAGUGCUCAGUGUAUGGCUUUGGAAAGAAGACUGGACGUUCUGGACUGCCUCGAAACAGAGUGCCCUCAUGGGUUUACUCACAGAGGAACUGGGCUGUGAGGUGUAGUGACUGAAGGUUCAGAUGCAAUACCUGCCUGUGACUCCAGGAUGUAAGGUCUUUGACUAAAAACAGAGCUUGAAAAUGACUUGGAAAUCAGCAGCACUAGAGGGAAAGCAAAGAGCAAGUUCUUGUCCCAGGGAAGAGAAAUUUAUCUGAUAUGAACCCGGAG